rnacentral:rRNA from 1 species
UACGGAGGGUGCAAGCGUUAUCCGGAUUUACUGGGUUUAAAGGGUGCGUAGGCGGGUAGGUAAGUCAGUGGUGAAAUCUUCAAGCUUAACUUGGAAACUGCCAUUGAUACUAUUUAUCUUGAAUACUUUGGAGGUAAGCGGAAUAUGUCAUGUAGCGGUGAAAUGCUUAGAUAUGACAUAGAACACCAAUUGCGAAGGCAGCUUACUGCACAGUAAUUGACGCUGAGGCACGAAAGCGUGGGGAUCAAACAGG